rnacentral:misc_RNA from 1 species
GUAUAAAAAUUGAAUUUUGAAAUGACCGCUAAGUAUCCAUUAACGGAAAGAAACGAGGGAAUGAGUGGAAUCGGAACGCACCCCCACAGAAGAAAAAGGAAACAAAACGUAGUACAAGAUGGCUGCGUUUGGGUGUUGUGGCUACUAAUUUGUGUAAGACAUUUCUGUAAUAUUAGAUGGUUAAUUCAUAGUGAAAUAUUAAAUUUUGAUCAGUUAUUCGUUAGUGGAAUUGAGUUUGUGCGUGAUGCGUACACGCGGGAACGAUUCGCAUUGGGAGGAACAAUGCUAACACAUCGCUGAAACAUUUAUCACGGUUCAGGGGGUGGAUGAUAGGAAUUUACUGAAAAUCCAAGAUAGAAGCCGCUUGAAACACUGGAGAAAGACGGUGGAGCUUCGGAGGAGGAGGAGAUGUCUGCCGGCACCCAGGGCGAGAUUCGGGUUGGCCCUUCGCACCAGGAAUUGGUUUCUUGUCAGGCCCGUUUGCCUGAGUAUCGGCCGGGUAUACCUCCUGGAGAGCUGCUUCCUGAUCCAGAGUUUUCUAAAGAACGAGAAGAGCUAAGAUGGAUUCCAGCUAUGGCAUUGGACGGGGAUCUUCUGAUGUACUUAAGAGCAGCACGAUCUAUGGCUGCAUUUGCUGGCAUGUGUGAUGGAGGAUCCCCGGAUGACGGUUGUGUGGCUGCUUCCCGUGACGAUACAACCAUCAAUGCUCUGGACAUCUUGCACGACUCUGGCUAUGAUCCAGGAAGAGCACUGCAGGCGCUGGUUAAAUGUCCCGUACCUAAAGGCAUCGAUAAGAAAUGGUCCGAAGAGGAAACUAAACGCUUCGUCAAAGGACUUCGACAAUUUGGAAAGAAUUUUUCGAGGAUCAGAAAGGAUCUUUUGCCGCAUAAAGACACGCCGGAGUUGGUCGAAUUCUACUAUUUAUGGAAGAAGACGCCAGGGGCGAAUAAUAAUCGACCUCAUCGAAGACGACGUCAGGGUUCCCUUAGAAGAAUUCGCAAUACGCGCAACUCCCGAGCCGGUACUCCCAAAGAAGAGAUUCCAACUCCGCCGAAAGAUACUCCGGCAGCUAGCGUUAAUCAAAAGGAACCUAUUUCGGAGCCCGAAACUGUACCUGUUGGAACACCCGCUAGCAAUAAUCCUGGCGGGGAAAUUAGUUCUGUGACAGAGGACGAUAAUUCGGAAGAGGAUAGUGAUUCGAGGGAUACGAACACUAACGGAGCAACGCAUUCGUGUCAGCACUGUUUCUCGACGAAUUCGAAGGAUUAUCAGGUAGCCGGCAAGGAUAGGUUAUUGCUUUGUACGGAAUGCAGAACACAUUUGAAGAAGACCGGGGAACUGCCGCCUGCUCCUCCGUAUCUGUUCCGCCCUGUGCCUGCGGAAUCACCAGAUAGCCCAGGGAGAAUGCGUACACGAAACAAGGCUAAGGAGACGCCUAGACCCGCGAGACCCCGACGUACAGGUGGAACGGAUACCCCCGAUCAAGAGAAGCAACAGCAGCAGCAGCAGCAGCAGCAACAACAACAACAACAACAACAACAGCAGCAGCAGCAGCAGCAACAACAACAACAAACGCCGGAUAAAAGCAAGAAAAAAUCUUCCAGUAAGCCAGAAACACCGAAGAAAGGUCAAAAGCGGCCGCCAGCCGACGAGGUAGACGAGGAUAAAGAGUCUCAGAAACGAAAACGUCCUGGCGAACAACGUCCUGAGAGCCCUUCGGAGUCGCUCACAACCGACAGCAACUCUCUGAUGGACGAACCUGAGAGAGAAGGAGAAGGCGAUACGAACGAGAAUCAACCCACUCCAGUUACAGUGCCAACCGAGGAGCCAGUGAGUCCGGCCGUAACCACGCCGGAAGAGCCUUCCGAACCAACGCCUGUUUCAACCCCCGUGCCAGCACCGAUACAAACUUUACCCAUAUCUGUUCCUGUUAUUCACGCGUUGGAAAAGAAACCGUUGUUGGAGGAACCGUUGGAAACGAAGGAUCAAAUAGAAGAUGUACCUUUAGCCAUGAAUCAACCUCUGAAGUUGGAACCUAUGCCGAUAGAACCAGCCAUGUCCCCCUCGAACGAAGAUAUGAAAGAACCCGAACAGCAAUUGAACUUGACUACGUCGCAGUCGUUGAACAUGAACGAGAUGAAUCAGAAUAUGCCACGUAAUUUGUCGCAGACGAUUCAGAAUAGCGGUAUUUGUACAGCUUCCGCUGGUUCGCAAAGUGUACAGAAUUCGCAGAUCAUGUCUCCCACGCACCAAGGAUUGCCGCUUAAUAUGCAAUACGCAUCGAACGUUCCUCCCGUACAAAACGUGCCGCAGAACUUGUCGCAGAGCAUGCAAAUGCCGACGAGCAUACCGCAGAGUAUGUCGAAUACGCAAAAUAUGGGACCAACGCAGAACCUUCGAGGUCACGGUGAAAAUUUGUCGAGCGCGCAGAAUAUGCCCCAAAGCAUACCGGGACCACCGUUAAAUCUGAAUAUUUCGCAAAGCAUACCGACAAACAUCGCUCAAAUGCCUCAGAUGCCGAGUUCACCGCAACCUCUUGGUUUGACCGUGAUGUCUUCCGAGAAUAGGAUGUCCGAACGAAUUUCGGACGACAGAUUAUCGACGGAACGGAUAAGAGACGGUAGGAUACCGGACAGAAUACCGGACAGGAUACCCGAAAGACUUUCGGAACGCGCAGAAAAUAACGAGCCGGAGAGGAACGAGCCAAACAAUCUCUUUCAACCGAUUCAACCGAGCGGAAUGUUAUCGAUGGAGAAACCAUCCUCCAUGUACAAUUUGGCUGGCACGCCCCCGAUGGAGCCACAGAAUUUGAAGAUCAAGCAGGAAAUCAUUCCGCCCGAACCGGAUCCGCUUCAGAGCCUGAAAGAGGUGAAAGUUCCUGGUUUCCAGUCCGGCUUCCCUGGUCCGAGUUUAGAGAACAUUAAGAAGGAUCCGGAUAGUUCGAGCAAGCCACCGACACCUAGCAAACACUCGAUGCCGAGUAGCCAGCCAGUUCCUCAGAUGCAAUCGGUGACCGCGUCCCCAACGCCGUCUCUUCCACCUCCGCCUACGUCUAUUCCUCAACCCGUGAUGCAUCCGGCACAACAACCGAGUCCGCACAUGGCCCAUCCGUUCCAUCCUCAUCAUCCGUUAAUGCAUCAUUCGUUGUUCACUGCCAUGCAUCCGUAUCAUCCGCACGCUUAUCCAGGAUACGCUCCGGUCGGGGGAUAUCCUUCGUUUCCGCCGUAUCCUUACGGCCCGGUACCUCACGCUAUUCCUCCGCCGUCCCCGCAAAGGAGUCAAGAAGGUACAACUAUGAUGACGGCGCAUCAUUCGAGUACAAGCUCGAGCGUGACGACCAGAGAAGAAGGAGAAAAUCUGAUCGCCACGCAUCAUCACUCUUCCACGAUGCAUCAAGCGACGGCGUUGCACCACGAUAAAUUAUUAACGAUCUCGUCGCAUAGUUCCCAUAGUCAUUCGUCGUCGCAUAGUUCUCACAACGCUCAACGCAAGCCAUCGUUGGUGUCCGCUGCUUGUUUGACGUCCAGUAGUUCGUCGCAUCAUCAUCAUAGACCACCUCAGGCGCAACCGUCGGUCGUUCAGGAGCCGAAGAUAGAGCCCGAGUUGGUGGAGCAGGAGCAAGAGGAGCCGGCGAGUCCACGAGGUCCGUCCCCGGAACCGAGAAUCGAAGACUCGGAAUGUCAUAGGUCGCAGUCUGCUAUUUUCCUGCGACAUUGGAAUCGGGGUGAAAAUAAUUCUUGCACCAGGACAGAUUUGAUGUUCAAGCCUGUUCCGGAUUCGAAGCUGGCGCGAAAACGAGAGGAAAGAUCGAGGAAACAAGCGGAAAGAGAAAGGGAGGAACGCGACAGAGCGGCGGCGCAGCAAGCCAGGAAAAUGACGACUCCGGAGAAGCAACCGGAAGCUUGUAAGCCACCGAGCCGGGGACCGCUCGAACCAGUGGUGUCUCCGUACGAUAGGUACGCGGCGAGGCCAGGGUCGUAUGCCGACACGCCUGCCUUGAGACAAUUGUCCGAAUACGCUCGGCCGCACGCGGCGUUCUCGCCCGCUAGGCAUCCGGCACCGCCGGAUCCGAUGCUGCACUAUAUGUACAGCCCUGCGGCGCGCGAACGUCUGGAACUGGAACAUCUGGAACGCGAGAAAAGAGAACGGGAAAUCCGAGAGCUGCGAGAAAGAGAAUUGAACGAUCGAUUGAAGGAAGAACUGUUGAAAGGAACACCUAGACCGAUGCCGGCACCGGUGGAUCCUCAUUGGCUGGAGAUACAUCGGCGUUACGCGGCUGCGGGACUCGCGCCAGGACCCUCGGGACCGCCUCAAGCUUUGCAUCAAUUUAGUCUUUACGGAGCUCCACCUGGUCCGAGUCAGUUGGAAAGGGAACGUUUAGAAAGACUAGGGAUACCGACUGCAGCCGGCGGGGGGCCAGCGGGUGCAGGGGCUGGCCAUCCCGUGGCGGCUCAUCACCACGGCCAGCUGGACGAGCGACUGGCUCUAGCUGCUGACCCGAUGGUCCGGUUGCAGAUGGCUGGCAUUUCGCCCGAAUAUCAUGCUCACACUCAUGCGCAUACGCAUGCGCAUACGCACUUACACUUACAUCCGGGACAGCAGCAGGCCCAGCAACAGGCUCAGCAACAGCAGGAAGCGGCUGCGGCUGCAGCUGGAUUCCCCCUGCCUGCGGCAGCCGGUGCAAAUUAUCCGCGACCUGGCUUGAUGCCACGUGAUCCAGCGCUGGCUCUUCAUCCCGCCGAACUUCUCGGAAGACCGUACGCUGACAUGGCGGCUCAUCACGAGCAAUUACAACGUCAUCUAAUGAUGGAACGCGACCGAUUUCCUCCUCACGCAUCGCUCGUAGCACACCACGAGGAGUAUCUAAGGGUGUUUUUUAGACAACAGCGCGAGCGUGAGCUUAAAGUUCGCGCACUGGAAGAAGCUGCACGUGGAUCACGCCCUUAAGUAUCGUUGUAAUUUAUAUAUAUGUGUGCGAGAGAGUGUGUGUGCGAGCGCGCGCGUGUCUGUGUAUAUGUAUACAUACAUACAUACAUGCACAUAUUAAGAAUGAUUAUCCUUCAGAAUUAGGAUCUCGUUCUAGAUCGUGUGUUUUGACGACACGCUGUUUUCAAAGUAACAAUGGUGCAAAGACAGAUACAAACAUAUAUAUGAAGGGAGAGAGAAAGAUUUGCCCACAAAAGAUUACAUUCGUUAACCUUACGUUCAGAUUGAGAAAUUAUUUUUACGUAGUCUCCCUUAGAGCUAAGUAAUAGUAGUAAGGUGGGGAAAAACGUAAAGAUCGUUACGUUACGUCUAACUUUUUAGUGUAAAUACACAAAGUUUAAACCAUACUGCUACGUGAAAGAUGACUCGUUUAACACCGUAGAGAACUAUAAAGUAUAUAUAUAUAUACAUCUCGAUCCCUUUACACGUAAAUUUAUUUGGAAUCUCUUCCCCCCUCUCUCUCUCUCUCUCUCUCUCUCUCUCUCUCAUAUAUACAUAUAUAUUAAUUAUAGUAUUUACAAACUCAAAAUAUUACCAUACGUUUGAUUGUUCUUUCGUUCUUUUUCAAAAGGUGAUAAUGCCAAAGUGUUCAAAAGGAAAGUGAUUAUCCUAGAGAGUAGAUUAUUCUCUUUUCUUCGUUUUACUUAUUGGAUAUCAUAGGAUUAAACGAACACGAAAUACUAAUUUCGAAUAUUGUUUAGAACAGUGAUAGACAACUACGCGUACGAAGUGACGCACACCCGUGGGCACCGUUACAAAUUUCAUAUUUCUAUAUUUAUAAAAUAAUGAAUUUUUCAAUCUACCGAAUCCCUUAAUUUCUAUAUUUCCAAAUCCCGAAAGUCCUGAAUUUCCGAGUUGCUAAAUUCGAUAGUUCGACAUCUAAUCUAAUUAGUGAGCACUUUGGCAAGCGUUUGAUUUGCUCGUUAUUGGUGUAGAUAAACAACUUUCGAAUAUGCUUUCUUAAAACUGUCCGUGGGUAUAGCAACUGUUUUGGGGCAGUUUUCUUUGUAUUUUCCACAGACUUCCCGUAUUCUAUCGUAUUUCUAAGGAUGUAACUUAAGUUUUAAAUAUUAUUGUAAUUCUUUGUGUCGGACGAUUUGUAUAUUUUCUAUAUAUGUAUCCUCUUAAAAUUUUACUCCGAAAACAACCGAGCGUUUGAUACCUAGUUAGAUCGAGCGGCUGAUUAGUAAUAAAUCCCUACGCGAAGAAAAGAAAGAGUAAACUUUGUAACAAAGUGACCAAAGUUAAAAGAAAGAUUAUAGAAGAAAGAAAUCUUCCAUGGUCGUGCGCCUCGUAGAUUUCACAGAAAAUAUAUCCUGUACGGUGCAGGCUCUGAAAAAUAAUACGUAAACGAUGUUUUUUUCAACAAACGGAAGAGAACGCGAGAGAGUGAGCGAGCGAAUGAGAGAGAGAGAGAGAGAGAGAGAGAGAAAAGAAAAGAGAAUACGUGAGAGAGAAAUAGAAAUACUAAAGUAAUCUUUAUUCUGACGACCAUUCAUACGUGUAAAUUUUCUGCUAUAUAAUUAAUUCAGUGUAAUCUAGUUAUUUAACUAAGUAAAGAUAUUUCAUAGGAACGUGUCCCGUUCUUAAUCGUAUCGUUCUCGUUUUAGUUUCUCCAUAAGAAGCGUUCCGAUUAAUUUAGAGCGUGAAUUAUGGUUUGUAUCGUGGAAAAAGUGAAUUAUCGUUUGUCUGCUUGCACUUAAAAGGCUGUAUCGUGGUUUUUUCACUCGUGUUAUCUGUAAAGAACAUUAUAUUUGCAUCGCUGCAACCAAAUCUCGAGCAGACGUUUUCAUUUCAUAGUACAUUUGUUACCAGAGAAAUGGGAGAGGGUGGGGAAAAAAAUGAUAUCGGACAUGAAAAUUUGAUGUAAUCGAAGCAGAAAUGGAAAAAAAAGGAAGAAGAGGGAUCAUUGUAUAUUUUAUUACCAGUUUGUUUGUCAUUCGACUUCCUUUGGAGAAAAAUAAAUGCCUGUCUGGUAAAGAAACUUGUCUUUUCGGCACCUCGCGUAACUUGUGUUACGUUAAUCGACAUUCGCGAGCGGUAACGUCGGACAAAUUUCCAGAAAAAUACUGCUACGAUUCAAGCAGAGAAACAACACGGAACUGGCCUAAUUAGUUUUACACAUGGAAUUUGUUUUCCUCGCCUUUCCUACCGGUUGUCGGUUUGUUUUUAUUGACCGUAAUGUGAAACCCAGCCACCGACCACUUUGCGUGGGAGACGUCGCAUCCAUCUACGUCCGUGCGUUUCCAUGUAGGAAGCGCAAGUGCUUCGUGUUCUUCGGCAAACCGUUUGUCGAAAACACUCGAGCUUUUAAGCGUAUGCCCUAAUGAAAAACGUGAAAUUUUCUACCCUAGUACGUUUUAUAUAAAUAUGUUCGUACGAAAAAGGCACGUUGUCUCUGCUGAAUAAAUUUCGUCGAAUUUGAACGAGCGGUGGAAGGGAAAACGAGUCGGACUCCGAAAUUUGUUGAAAAAGGAAGUAAAGAUUUCAUCCAACUGCAUCGAAUCAUUUAACGCGUUGACUGCCAUAUCACCUCUACGUAAGCAGUAAUUAGGAAUCUAUCAGGUGUACAAUAUAAGAAAUUCGUUAACUCGUCGGAUUAAAAGUAAUCGUGCCGGAUAUUUCGAGAAUGAUCGAUAACGUUUGUUAAAAGGUAGAAAUAUUAACGAAGAAAGUAAUAUCGAGGGGCCUGCGACGUGGCAGUCGACGUAUUAAACUUUUCUUUCCUUUCUAUUUUUCUUACCGAAAUAUUCGUUUAAUCGCGUAUCUGCCUGCCCCAAAAAUUCCAAAUUUUCUCUAUUCGACGCUUCUCUACUCUUUGACAAUCUUUCUGCUGUAUCGUUUACUAACGUGUCCUCUUUUUGUCAGCGAAGCAUCGUGCGAAUGAUUCGGUCGCCCCUAAUCGAGAAUACACGUGCGUUCCACGUGUGUACGUUUAAAAGAGGGGGGCAGGAUAGGUUAGAGGGUAGGGAUUAGGGGUGCCUGUUCAGCGAAGGAGGGCCGGAGGGGAGGCGAGAGUAGGAGGAGACGAGGAAGAGAAGAAGAAGAAGAGAAUUGUGGAGGAAAGGAAGGAAACCGCAGCAGUUAGUCAUUUACGAAUAAGCUACUGACAAAGCCGGACGUCUCCGUUUCGAGCGAACGCAGUCGUCGAACGAUUUGACCGAUAGCGAGGUGGUCGCGGCAUGGCUGCACGAAAGAAAGAGGAUUCGUCGAAACAACGUUAUCAAGCGAACGCGCGCGAAAGGGACCGCACACAUAGGUGAAAACAUCAUCUUUUUCACGGACCGUUAUAAUUUAUUGUACUCCGUGUUGUAGAUUUUCAAGUUAAACAUCGUUAUAAAAUAACGAACAUACACUCGUGCACGAUAAGAAUUAAUCUGACAUUGGCUGUUACAUUUUAA